rnacentral:rRNA from 1 species
AGAAUCAACGCUGGCGGCGUGCCUAACACAUGCAAGUCGAACGAGAAAGUGGAGCAAUCCAUGAGUACAGUGGCGCACGGGUGAGUAACACGUGACUAACCUACCCUUGAGUGGGGAAUAACCUGGAGAAAUCUAGGCUAAUACCGCAUAACACCUACGGGUCAAAGGAGCAAUUCGCUUAAGGAGGGGGUCGCGGCAGAUUAGUUAGUUGGCGGGGUAAUGGCCCACCAAGACGAUGAUCUGUA